UACGAAGGGGGCUAGCGUUGUUCGGAUUUACUGGGCGUAAAGCGCGUGUAGGCGGCUUUGCAAGUCGGAUGUGAAAGCCCACGGCUCAACCGUGGAAGUGCAUCCGAAACUGCAUAGCUGGAGUCCCGGAGAGGAAGGUGGAAUGCUUGGUGUAGAGGUGAAAUUCGUAGAUAUCAAGCAGAACACCUGCGGCGAAGGCGGCCUUCUGGACGGUGACUGACGCUGAGACGCGAAAGCGUGGGGAGCAAACAGG
rnacentral:rRNA from 1 species